rnacentral:lncRNA from 1 species
AGAUUUUAGAGUCUUACCAUAUCCCUCUUUCUCCUCCUUUCGUCCCUGAAGCCUGGGAAAAUACAAAAGGAAAGUCUACUCUCCCCAUCACUUUUCCAAGACAUUAGUCUAUACCCACCAGUCCCAUCCCUGUCACAUCGUCUAUGAAGCCCUCCUUUUCCCUUCUUAUUCAUUCCCUAUGGACUUCUGUUGGAUCAUCUCAAUGGUGAUGGUAAUUGAGGAAAAGUCUCAAAAGGUGGAGGCAAGAAUACUUGAAAAUCUAUGUAUUUCAAAUGAAGAUGGCUUCUCAGGGACCAUGCUGAGCCAUUCAUUGGUGAAAGGAUACACAUCUAGUCCACAGCUUUCAGGUUCACUCAGUCGCAUUGCUGCUGCCUAUACCACUAACAUCAUGUGGAGAUUCCAGAAGCACCUGAAAGAAGCUUCUUUUGUCCUCCCAUUGGAGCUAUUUAUCCUGUUCUUCCUUCACUGAUGCUUUUGGAAACUGCUUCCCACCUAACUGCUCACCAAGAGCAAGUAAGUAGACACAACCCCAGCACAUGGACAAGUCAAAGGCCAGUUCUCCAAGGUCAAUUUCCAGAGUGUCAUCACUACUCAGCCCACCCCGGCAUGGACUUUCAGAAACCUUAUUCCUACAUUCCUGAUGGCCAAUGGAAGUCCAGGGCCUCACUGGGCUGAAAGUUGCUUUUCUUGCUUCUUCAAAAGCAAGUGGGAAAAAAAAAAAAAAGCAAGUGGGGNGUCAAAGGCCAGUUCUCCAAGGUCAAUUUCCAGAGUGUCAUCACUACUCAGCCCGCCCCAGCAUGGGCUUUCAGAAACCCUAUUCCUACAUUCCUGAUGGCCAAUGGAAGUCCAGGGCCUGACUGGGCUGAAAGUGGCUUUUCUUGCUUCUUCAAAAGCAAGUGGGGGGGAAAAAAAGCAAGUGGGAUUUAACUUCUAAUCUUCUGGUGAUGAACAGAAAGGAGAAAAAAAUGCAAAACACUUUAUUUAGUUUUGAAGGAUGCUUUAAAAAGUUUUGUGAUAAAAUAUACAUAAUAUAAAUGUUAACAUUUGAACUAUUUUUAAGUGCACAGUUCAUGGGCAUUAAGCACAUUCACAUUGCAGUGUAACCAUCACCACCAUCUACCUCCAGAACUGUUUCAUCAUCCCAAAAUGAAAUUUUAUAUCCAUUAAACAAUAAAUCCUCAUUUCGUAUCCCA